rnacentral:rRNA from 1 species
GAUGAACGCUGGCGGCGUGCCUAACACAUGCAAGUCGAGCGGCAGCGCGGGGUGCUUGCACCCUGUCGGCGAGCGGCGGACGGCUGAGUAACGCGUGGGAACGUGCCCCAAAGUGAGGAAUAACUGCCCGACAGGGUAGCUAAUACCGCAUAUUAUCUUCGGAUCAAAGGAUUUAUCCGCUUUGGGAGCGGCUCGCGUCGGAUUAGGUAGUUGGUGAGGUAAUGGCUCACCAAGCCGACGAUCCGUAGCUGGUCUGAGAGGAUGACCAGCCAGACUGGAACUGAGACACGGUCCAGACUCCUACGGGAGGCAGCAGUUAGGAAUCUUCCACAAUGGGCGAAAGCCUGAUGGAGCAACGCCGCGUGCAGGACGAAGGCCUUCGGGUUGUAAACUGCUUUUAUAAGUGAGGAAUAUGACGGUAACUUAUGAAUAAGGAUCGGCUAACUACGUG